UAUGCAUGUUAGAUUCAGAACAAUUCUUCAUUAUUGAAAUUGAUUACUGCAGAAUCAAGAUUUUCCAGGUAAAGUACAGGACAUGGAAGGUUCCUGGACAGCUUUCAAAAAACAUGUGGUGGGAACCUAACAAGUUCAGGAGAUUUUGGGGAUGGGGGUUGCUUACCCAACAUAUAGCAUGCCAACAAUGGCCAAUACAAUAACAAGAAGGAUAAGAGCUGCCAGCUGAGUGCCGAUGCCAACAACUGCAGAAAGAAAGGCCAAACUUCGAGGAGGGCGAAAUACAUCACCAUGAACAAGCUUCCAUCCAGAUUCCUCAUUAACAUCUCUCUCCUAACAAAAGGAAUAUCAAGACUUGAGGUCCCAAUCGAGUGGCACUAGGUGAAAACAAAUCCAACUUAGAUGCUAGAGCUAAGAAUACAAUUAAACAAAAGGUAGAUAUACCAGUGACUCCAGAUCAUCAUCUUCACGAGCAUACUUUGCAUAGUCAUUUCUCAAUGUCCGCAUCAAUAUCAUUGAAACCAAACCAGUGAGGAAAAUAACCAUCAUGAAAGAAUUGAAAAUGGAGAACCAAUGAAUCUGAACAUUAGAAAUUUGCAUAGAAGUCAGAACCUUUGAACAACUUUCAAAAAGAACAAGACGAUUCAGCUCCCUGUUGUUACAAUUAACAUUUUUUCUCUUUCACAUAAGUAAGCAAGCUGAGAGCUGCAUGUUACGCAUAGUUUUUUUUUCUUUGGAGUGGGAAAAUAUUACCUGGUGCUCAAAGAAAGGAUAAUCCAGGUAUACUUCAAAGCGGCGUGCAAAGGUCACAUCUGUUUGUAACCACUUCACUGAAUAUGUCAUGUCCAAUUUCUUACCAGCUUCAAGAAGCUUAGGAGACUCU